rnacentral:rRNA from 1 species
UACGAAGGGGGCUAGCGUUGUUCGGAAUUACUGGGCGUAAAGCGCGCGCAGGCGGCCUUUCAAGUCAGGGGUGAAAGCCCGGAGCUCAACUCCGGAAUUGCCUUUGAAACUGUCAGGCUCGAGUACGGGAGAGGUGAGUGGAAUUCCCAGUGUAGAGGUGAAAUUCGUAGAUAUUGGGAAGAACACCGGUGGCGAAGGCGGCUCACUGGCCCGUUUCUGACGCUCAGGCGCGACAGCGUGGGGAUCGAAACAGG